rnacentral:rRNA from 1 species
CCGGCACGGGUGGGGUAACACGUAUCCAACCUGCCGUCUACUCUUGGACAGCCUUCUGAAAGGAAAGAAUUAAAACAAGAUGGCAUCAUGAGUUCACAUGUUCACAUGAUUAAAGGUAUUCCGGUAGACGAUGGGGAUGCGUUCCAUUAGAUAGUAGGCGGGGUAACGGCCCACCUAGUCAACGAUGGAUAGGGGUUCUGAGAGGAAGGUCCCCCACAUUGGAACUGAGACACGGUCCAA